GUGCCAGCAGCCGCGGUAAUACGGAGGGGGCAAGCGUUAUUCGGAAUCAUUGGGCGUAAAGGGCGCGUAGGCGGCUUGGCAAGUCGAAGGUGAAAUCCCCCGGCUCAACCGGGGAACUGCCUUCGAAACUGCCAGGCUAGAGUCCGGGAGAGGGUAGUGGAAUUCCCAGUGUAGCGGUGAAAUGCGUAGAUACUGGGAGGAACACCAGUGGCGAAGGCGGCUACCUGGACCGGAACUGACGCUGAGGCGCGAAAGCGUGGGGAGCAAACAGGAUUAGAUACCCGAGUAGUCC
rnacentral:rRNA from 1 species